UACGGAGGGGGCUAGCGUUGUUCGGAAUUACUGGGCGUAAGGCGCACGUAGGCGGCUUUGUAAGUUAGAGGUGAAAGCCCGGGGCUCAACUCCGGAAUUGCCUUUAAGACUGCAUCGCUUGAAUCCGGGAGAGGUGAGUGGAAUUCCGAGUGUAGAGGUGAAAUUCGUAGAUAUUCGGAAGAACACCAGUGGCGAAGGCGGCUCACUGGACCGGUAUUGACGCUGAGGUGCGAAAGCGUGGGGAGCAAACAGG
rnacentral:rRNA from 1 species